GACCCCGGGCCAGGUCCUGAGCUGGCAGGUUGCAGGGAUUUACAGCAUGACUCCUGUGAGGUUUGAUACUCCUCUUUUCAUCUCACACGUGACGAACUGGAAGCACAGACGUUUAGUUGUUUCCUGAGGGUCACUCAGCAAGCAAACUGUGCUGCUCACGUUGCAACCCAAGGCUGGGGGACUCCAAGGGUAAUACGUGUAUCUGUUUCUGCCACAAGCAGUGUCCUUGGAAGUCUUACAACUCCACAGACCACGUACUUCCUGGGCCAAAGAGCACUCCUAGUCUUUGGGGGGAUAGAAACUGAGAGAAGCAAAGAGAGACCUCCACCUUUCCACGGUGGGACAUGUUAAAGUCCUGUUUGUGGAGAAAAGCUUUCAUGGUUGAAUGAGAGAGUUGCAAUUGUAUCUGUUUCUCUAGAGCAUUGCCAGUUGCACUUUUCAAUAAAAAAUCUUCACAUUUAUGUCCUUAUGGCUGUCCAGAGCAUCAUAGGGUGUCUGAAGAUUUACAGGCAA